rnacentral:lncRNA from 1 species
AUGGAAAAGUAUGGUCAUCCCAUCAUUAGACAGCACACAUCCUACAUAAAUAAAAAGUCGUAUGGGGAAGGAGGUUGGGGAGGGAAUAAAAAAUUGGCACAGACAUUGAUAGACUGGUUUCCAGUUUCAAGGUAACAGAUGCACAUCAUGAGACCAGAGGAGGCAGAGACAAGGCUGGAUUUGGCUUUUCUAAGCAACAUGUGUUCCUGUGCAGGGCUGAAUGGUCGCUGAGACAGAGAUGGAAGCCAGGACAAGGGAGCCCACCGGGCCCAGAUAGAGACUUCAGAAUCCACUCCUGAGAACAGCGGAGCCAGGCGCUUAGAGGAAGACCAAAUGCUGCCAGGACACGGAUUGUCCAGGGAUUACAUUCCAGCAUCUUAUUAGAUGGCCUGAUUAGCCAGAGGUUUCCAGGCCGUCUGUCCGCCUCCAGGAGAUGGACUGGGACCUUUAGACAUCGGUGGAGAACAGGAUGCUCUGUCCCUUGCUGUCCAGGGCAGGGAUGGCCUCCAGCCGCAAGAAAGGACCGAAGCAGAGGGUGCUGUUUCAAUGCCACCACCAGGAGAGAGGCAGAGGGGCUGUGCCGUGCUAGAGUCCUCAGGGAGGGAGUGACCUCGACCCUGGCUGUGCUGCAAGCUGACUCCAGCCUUGGUACUUCUGGGUCUCAGUGGCCCGGGACAAGGGGCCAGCUCUGGGCUGAUGGGGAGGUCUUCAUGAUGUGCUUGGGAGGGAAGAGGCGGGUCCAAG